CUAGCCUGCUCNCUGACAUAAAGUGUUAAAUAGCCGCGGUAUCUUGACCGCGAAAAGGUAGCAUAAUCAUUAUUUUCCUAAUUGGGAACUUGUAUGAAUGGUUGGACAAAGAAAAAUCUGUCUCUUGCACUGAAAUUGAAUUUAACUUCUAAGUGAAAGGGCUUAAAUUUCCCAGAGGGACGACAACACCCUUUAAAGCUUUUUAAAUUUAUUAAUUUAGUUAAUUUUUCACUAUAUUAACGACGACAAGAGAAUUUAUUUGUUAAGGGCAACCGAAGCAAAAAUUUAAAUAACUGGUUUAAUUUAAUACCAUAAAUUUUGUUUUUUAUAAUAAUUGAUUCUCAAAAAGAUUAAAGAGCAAGUAGUUUUAGGGAUAACAGCGUAAUUUAUCCUGAGAGUUUUUAUCAAAGGAAAAGUUUGCGACUUCGAUGUUGAAUUAAAAUGUCUACCUAGUGUAGCAACUAGGAAAGAAGGUCUGUUCGACUUUUAAUUUUUUAUAUAAUC
rnacentral:rRNA from 1 species